GAAAAUUGAACUAAUUUAGGUUUUAUAAGGAUUUUUAUUAAAUUUUCUUAUAAAUUAAAAGGGAAGUUUGGGUGUAAAUCCCUCGCGGUCCCGCCGCUGUAAUAGAUGAGUUUUUCUAUAUUAUGCCACUGUCUUAAAGAUGGGAAGGUUUAGAAAAUACUAUGACUCUUAAGCCAGAAGACCUGCCUAAAUUUUUUAAACACA
rnacentral:ncRNA from 2 species